UGGGAUGUAGCUCAGUGGCAAAGCACUUGCCUAGCAAGUGCAAUGUCCUGGGUUCGAUCCCAGCACCAA
rnacentral:tRNA from 1 species